CACACACUGGGCCAGUUACAUCAACUUCAGCAUUUCUACCACUGUAUCAAGUCAGUGUGUCUUUUGUUGGGCCAUUCAUUACGUUGCUAUUGUGUGACAAAGAAUUAGAAUUGUAAUUAUUAUGUGUGGGGGAUGAUGAUUAUACCAAGUAAUGAACUGCACUUUUUUAGUGAGGUCAAAGACAAUGAAACCACUUACUAGAUACUACCACUACUCUGAAUUGUGUGUGACCGUUUCUUUGUGUGUGUACUGCUUGUCUUUUUUGUUAUUUAUGAUUUUAUUUGAUUGCUUAUGUUACCAAGAGUUUGUGCUUUUUUUCUGUGAUCACCACAAGAGAAUGAACUACUCCAUUUGAUACGUGAAUGAAAUUGUUUGCACACCUUUGCGCCUUAUGUAACUAAAGAGGGUUAUUGUUUCUUCAUAAUACCCUGUACAAAAUGCCUGGUUAUCCUUAAGAGCCUCUCAAUGUUGUUGCCAGAUGUAAAUAAUGUGAUGUGUUCAUGGUACUAAAAAACACUUAGUCAUUCAGCCCAGAGCAGAACAUUUACUCUUUUAAAGACUGUUUUAGGCAAAUUAAUGAAUGCAUGUAAACAAUACAAUUAACAGAGUGCAUGAUACUAGAGAAGCAGAGAGCUGCUAGCGAUUUACUAGAAGACGGUCCUCAUUGAGGAGUAAUCCUCUGAGUACAUUUGGUCCUGAGUACAUUUUAACACGCCUCCAUUGUCCAGGUCUUGGGAAACAAUGUUUUGGUUUCCCUGCCAAACAAGUUACACCAACAGUGUGUUACCAUGUGGGCAUCCAGCCAAUUACAGUUUACAUGGAAGCUAUUUAGGAAUCAAUCAUUGUGUCACGCAGGGGAUUACUUUCAAAUGUGGUGGGAUGUCUUGCCUUUAAAUCAAGUUGCAUCUGACGGCAUGGGAUUUAUUCAGGCCUAAAAACAAAGACCUUUUUUGAGGAGUGUUUGUACUUUUUCCCCACACGGUACACAUGUGUGUGAGUGUGACAAUGCUUAGCUUAACACUUGAUUUAAAAGGUUUUUUUGUAGCAAUACUUUUACAUCUUUUGAAAUGUACAAUUUGGUGGCUAUAAAUUAAAUGAAUGUGUGUGUGGUACAGAGAGUAUGGCAAAUCAUGAUUCCAUCCAGACUUUAGUUAAACAGUGCAAUGAUAGUCCUUAAAUAUGGUGUGGACAACCUUUACUGCUGUAUAGAGCUGCUCCUUCAGGGAACGCUAUUUAAUUUCAAAAGGCCCAACAAUAGUAUAGAGGGAAGAAUGAUCAGCGCAAUGUUUGUUCCUCUUUCAUUUGGAUGUGCUUCUAUGAACCUGUCAUGUCAGCGUUCCCAAUGUAUCACUAUCUUAAAGCCUUGUUUGUACUUUAAAGAACUUGUAAAAGUAUGUAUUCUGUAAGAAUAUUUUGAAUAACAUUUGAAGUUUCAAA